UUAAUUUUGAUAGACUUUUUUGAGGUGCAUCUCUUUCUCUCCUUAGCAACUAGCAAGUCUCCAAACGAACUCAACCUUCUUACUUCGUCAGAUUCAUAUUGAAAUCAAUCGAUUAAUUAAAAGUCGAUUCCCAACUAUUAAUAAAAAUUCGCCACCACCAUCAGAGGUGGCUUUGCCAAAUCCGACCACCGAUGAAGAACAAAACCCUUUGGUUCUGAGAAUUCUGGUUCGGAUUUGGAAUGCAGAAAAUCGCUUCUCUCAUCAAUUGACUUGCUUGAUGUCGGAUCUACUGUUUUCCCUUUUUUUGGGUCGGUAUUUUUCUGGCGGUGAUGAGAGGACUCCGAGGAGACCCAAAAGGCCUCAAAGCAAACGUGAAAACCAUGGCAGCAACGGCGGAGGCGGUGGGAGUUCCUCUUCUUCGAAUACACCACCAUCAUCUGCUCCCAAAAUCCUAUUAUCUAAGCCAGAUCUCGUCACUUCUUCCGCCGAAAAAUUUAGUCGCGGCGGUGCCGGUGCUGGCGGCGAAGACGACUCCUCCGUAUCUAUUCGGUCUCGCAUUCCCUCCAUCGGCUCUCUCAACGGUCUCGCAUUCCCUCCAUCGGCUCUCUCAAUCUAAUCUCCAAUUCCUCCUGGGAUUUCCACUCAGACCGCUUUCUUCCUGUAUGUAUAUCUAUUUUCUCCCUUGUUUUUAUAUUUUUGUGUAUGUAUAUGAAUGUAAUCAUUUUUGUUAAUAGUUACCUGCUAAUAAUAUUGGCAAAACAAUACAAAGAAAAAACACAAACUUUAGUGGAAUGCGAGUCAAUUUUAUUUAGAAUUGUCAUACAAAUACAUCACAACAAAGGACACACUCUCAACUAUUCACUUUAUGCCCUAUAAAACCUAGCUAUGCCUUGAGUCUUUCCAUUUGUGAAAUAAUGCACAAGUCACGUUCUUUAUUCAUAAUAGAAAGACAUACUACCUCAAUGGGAUCACAAAUUAAUGUUGGAAAUUAAGCAGAGACUAUAAAAAAUUUGUUCCAAUUAUACAUUUGUAUGUCCCCACAAAUUCAAAAAGUAACUAGGGAGUAGAGUCUUUGUAUAUGUGCACUUUGUGGUAAAUUAGUAUUUAUAACCUAUUUUACAUUUCGUUUGUGUAAUUUUAGACAUCCUAUUGAGGCCAAAAUGCUAGGGAGUAGAGUCUUUGUAUAUGUGCACUUUGUGGUAAAUUAGUAUUUAUAACCUAUUUUACAUUUCGUUUGUGUAAUUUUAG
rnacentral:lncRNA from 1 species